AACACAUGCAAGUCGAGCGAAGCUGUUUCAUGAAGUCUCGGAUGGAGUGGAAACGGACUGAGCGGCGGACGGGUGGAGUAACGCGUGGGUAACCUGCCUCAUACAGGGGGAUAACAGUUGGAAACGACUGCUAAUACCGCAUAAGCGCACAGUGCCGCAUGGUACGGUGUGAAAAACUCCGGUGGUAUGAGAUGGACCCGCGUCUGAUUAGGUAGUUGGUGAGGUAAUGGCCCACCAAGCCGACGAUCAGUAGCCGACCUGAGAGGGUGACCGGCCACAUUGGGACUGAGACACGGCCCAAACUCCUACGGGAGGCAGCAGUGGGGAAUAUUGCGCAAUGGGGGAAACCCUGACGCAGCGACGCCGCGUGAGUGAGGAAGGCCUUCGGGUCGUAAAGCUCUGUCAAGAGGAAGGAAGUGUACAAUGGCUAAUACCUGUUGUAUUUGACGGUACCUCUAAAGGAAGCACCGGCUAACUCCGUGCCAGCCGCCGC
rnacentral:rRNA from 1 species